rnacentral:lncRNA from 1 species
CGGUAUGCGUAUAUCUUUUCUGAGUAACAUUAUUGUCGUUUGUUUUUCUUACAGCUAACUGUUUCCUGCUCGGCCGAGUGUGGUAGGAAAAAUGUUACCGUUCUCUCAAGGAAGCCAUGCGCAGUCGUUACCAAUCCCGGCGGGGGAACGGCAAGAUUUGGGACUAGGGCGUGCCGCGUUGGCACAUGUUUGAGUGGAUCUUGUUCACCCACACGGCGCGAGACUAUCUGCCAAGUACGACAAGCGAUCUUUCAUCGAAAUUAUCAUUGAUAUUAAAGUGCUCAUAAGUAUUACACGCAA